UACGGGGGGGGCAAGCGUUGUUCGGAAUUACUGGGCGUAAAGGGCCAGUAGGCGGCCAACUAAGUCCGACGUGAAAUCCCCAGGCUUAACCUGGGAACUGCGUCGGAUACUGGAUGGCUUGAAUUCGGGAGAGGGAUGCAGAAUUCCAGGUGUAGCGGUGAAAUGCGUAGAUAUCUGGAGGAACACCGGUGGCGAAGGCGGCAUCCUGGACCGAUACUGACGCUGAGGAGCGAAAGCCAGGGGAGCAAACGGG
rnacentral:rRNA from 1 species